rnacentral:rRNA from 1 species
ACGAACGCUGGCGGCGUGCUUAACACAUGCAAGUCGAACGGAAAGGCCCUGCUUUUGUGGGGUGCUCGAGUGGCGAACGGGUGAGUAACACGUGAGUAACCUGCCCUUGACUUUGGGAUAACUUCAGGAAACUGGGGCUAAUACCGGAUAGGAGCUCCUGCUGCAUGGUGGGAGUUGGAAAGUUUCGGCGGUUGGGGAUGGACUCGCGGCUUAUCAGCUUGUUGGUGGGGUAGUGGCUUACCAAGGCUUUGACGGGUAGCCGGCCUGAGAGGGUGACCGGCUACAUUGGGACUGAGAUACGGCCCAGACUCCUACGGGAGGCAGCAGUGGGGAAUAUUGCACAAUGGGCGGAAGCCUGAUGCAGCAACGCCGCGUGCGGGAUGACGGCCUUCGGGUUGUAAACCGCUUUCGCCUGUGACGAAGCGUGAGUGACGGUAAUGGGUAAAGAAGCACCGGCUAACUACGUG